AGCGAACGCUGGCGGCAGGCCUAACACAUGCAAGUCGAACGAACCUUUCGGGGUUAGUGGCGGACGGGUGAGUAACACGUGGGAACGUGCCUUUAGGUUCGGAAUAACUCAGGGAAACUUGUGCUAAUACCGAAUGUGCCCUUCGGGGGAAAGAUUUAUCGCCUUUAGAGCGGCCCGCGUCUGAUUAGCUAGUUGGUUGAGGUAAUGGCUCACCAAGGCGACGAUCAGUAGCUGGUCUGAGAGGAUGAUCAGCCACAUUGGGACUGAGACACGGCCCAAACUCCUACGGGAGGAAGCAGUGGGGAAUCUUGCGAAAUGGGCGAAAGCCUGACGCAGCCAUGCCGCGUGAAUGAUGAAGGUCUUAGGAUUGUAAAAUUCUUUCACCGGGGACGAUAAUGACGGUACCCGGAGAAGAAGCCCCGGCUAACUUCGUG
rnacentral:rRNA from 1 species